UUCUUUGUCGGGGAGCUCUGCUGAAAUGAUUCUGUCAAUAUCAAAAGCAGUGGGAUUUCUGAAGUCCCCUUCAAGCCAUAGAAGUAUAUGAGCGUGUGGUAAGCCUCUUUUCUGGAACUCGAUGGUGUAGACAACUGUUUUGUAGUAAACAAUAGGUCAGACACGUUAGUUUGUAUAUUAAAAUCUUAAGCUUGGUUUGUCUGAAAACCUAUUUGCAGACCUGCUUUGGGACGGGGGAAGAAGAUGCCUUUGUUGAAAUCUGACAUCAACUCAUCAAGCUUCAUUUUGAACACCCGAGACUCCACGUCAGGACGGUCGUUGGGAUCAUCGUUGCCAUACAUUUUGAGGUGAUCAGAUAUCUCUUCCCAUUUAGGAUUGGUUGUAAUAGUGAUAAAUAAGUCUGGGUUUCCAUGCCAUCGACAAAUUGCCAUCGCAUCAUGGUACCUUUCAGCCAUAUACCGC
rnacentral:lncRNA from 1 species